UACGUAGGGUGCGAGCGUUAAUCGGAAUUACUGGGCGUAAAGGGCGCGUAGGCGGCCUGCUAAGUCGAACGUGAAAUCCCUGGGCUCAACCCCAGGAACUGCGUCCGAUACUGGUUGGCUUGAAUCCGGGAGAGGGAUGUGGAAUUCCAGGUGUAGCGGUGAAAUGCGUAGAUAUCUGGAGGAACACCGGUGGCGAAGGCGACAUCCUGGACCGGUAUUGACGCUGAGGCGCGAAAGCCAGGGGGAGCAA
rnacentral:rRNA from 1 species